rnacentral:antisense_RNA from 1 species
GGAUAAUGCAAGUGUUUAACAGAUGCUUCACUAUUAAAAUAUUUUCCCCCCAAGUCUCAAAUAUUGAAGAAUCUCUAACCAGGUACAGUAUCACUCUGCUCUCUUUUCUGGUUGAAAAGAAAAAAAGAAAGAAAACGCAGGUAUUGCUUUUCGAAGUGCUUUGUAGGUAAUCGAGGGACACCAGUCCCAACGAAGACCUUGGGCGAUUUCAAAGUGCGGGCACCUCGAUUCCCCGAAUCUGUAGUGUGGCUGGUAUCGGUGUUUCCCUGGUUUAACUAGCCUGCUUGAAGGCGCAGAUCAUUCAUGGGGAAGUAAAACCGAAACCAGUCCUCUCCACCCCCUGCGGGUCUUCACUUUCCCAGUCUACAUCUGCCUGUGACUCCAGAAAGACAAACUGCAGAUUGGCCAAGUGCCUUUCAAAUUGUUUUUUACUGGAUGAAGAAACUCAACCAAGAAAAUAUAUGUCAAUUCUUGUAUAUGGGACAAUAUUAGCUGCUGUGAUUUUUAAUACUAGCAUAAAAUAUAAGAAUGUUUUUAUUACUGUGACAUUGUUUUUUUCUAAAUGAAUGCAUAGUGUAACAAUUGGUGUCAAAAAGCAUUGAAUUUUUUUCAAAUGGAUUAAGCUGGAAUAAUAAAGUGUAUCUAUGAGAUGAUUUCUGUAAACUCUGACUUGCUGAGAAAAAAGUGAAAAAGCUUUUUCUGGAAGAAACAUGGCAACUUAACCAUUAUUAAUCUGGACUAAAUAAAACAGGAAACUGCUUCUUUACAUUUCUAGUAAUUUUUUCUGCUUUUCCAAACAUUGUUAAGUUCUAUGCAACUUGUGCUACUCAAGUAAAGAUGAUGUCAGUAAUAAAAUUACAGAAUCUA